rnacentral:rRNA from 1 species
GCCGCGUGAGGGAGAAGGCCUUCGGGUUGUAAACCUCUUUCAGUAGGGAAUAAGCGAAAGUGAAGGUACCUGCAGAAGAAGCACCGGCUAACUAUGUGCCAGCAGCCGCGGUAAUACAUAGGGUGCAAGCGUUGUCCGGAAUUAUUGGGCGUAAAGAGCUCGUAGGUGGUCGAUCACGUCGGAUGUGAAAUUCUGAGGCUUAACCUCGGACCUGCAUUCGAUACGGGUUGACUAGAGUGUGGUAGGGGAGACUGGAAUUCCUGGUGUAGCGGUGGAAUGCGCAGAUAUCAGGAGGAACACCGAUGGCGAAGGCAGGUCUCUGGGCCAUUACUGACACUGAGGAGCGAAAGCGUGGGGAGCGAACAGGAUUAGAUACCCUGGUAGUCCACGCCGUAAACGGUGGGCGCUAGUUGUGGGAACCUUCCACGGUUUCUGCGACGCAGCUAACGCAUUAAGCGCCCCGCCUGGGGAGUACGGUCGCAAGACUAAAACUCAAAGAAAUUGACGGGGCCCCGCACAAGCAGCGGAGCAUGCGGCUUAAUUCGACGCAACGCGAAGAACCUUACCAAGGCUUGACAUAUACAGGAAUACGGCAGAGAUGUCGUAGCCGCAAGGUCUGUAUACAGGUGGUGCAUGGUUGUCGUCAGCUCGUGUCGUGAGAUGUUGGGUUAAGUCCCGCAACGAGCGCAACCCUCGUCCUGUGUUACCAGCAUUUAGUUGGGGACUCACAGGAGACUGCCGGGG